CACGUAGGCACUAAGCGUUGUCCGGAUUUAUUGGGCGUAAAGAGCUUGUAGGCGGUUCAGUAAGUCAGGUGUGAAAUCUUUGGGCUUAACCCAAAGCGUGCACUUGAUACUGCUGUGACUUGAGUUCGGUAGGGGAGUGGGGAAUUCCUAGUGUAGCGGUGAAAUGCGCAGAUAUUAGGAGGAACACCGGUGGCGAAGGCGCCACUCUGGGCCGAAACUGACGCUGAGGAGCGAAAGCGUGGGUAGCAAACAGG
rnacentral:rRNA from 1 species